rnacentral:rRNA from 1 species
UACGGAGGGUGCAAGCAUUAAUCGGAUUUAUUGGGCGUAAAGGACGCGUAGGCGGUAAGAAAAGUCGGGUGUGAAAUCCCGGGGCUCAACCUGGGAACUGCGUCUGAUACUGGAGGGCUUGAGUGCGGGAGAGGGAUGUGGAAUUCCAGGUGUAGCGGUGAAAUGCGUAGAUAUCUGGAGGAACACCGGUGGCGAAGGCGGCAUCCUGGACCGACACUGACGCUGAGGCGCGAAAGCUAGGGUAGCAAACGGG